AGCGCCCACUUAUAUUUGCAUGAACACUUCACCGUGCGCUCCCAUAUUGGGGAGAAAUAAAUCAGCCCCCUCACACCUUUGGUCGGCCACUAUGAGAAAGAGAGUCCCAGUUACUUGGGACUCUAUGGAUCCUAUCCAAUCUGGGUUCAAUCUGAGUCCAAUUCAAAUCUGAUUCGAAUCGGAUUCGAACCAAACUCGAAG
rnacentral:lncRNA from 1 species